GGCGCGAGGUACUGAUCCAGCCAUCCCGCGUGUGCGAUGAAGGCCUUCGGGUUGUAAAGCACUUUUUGGCAGGAAAGAAACGUCAUGGGCUAAUACCCCGUGAAACUGACGGUACCUGCAGAAUAAGCACCGGCUAACUACGUGCCAGCAGCCGCGGUAAUACGUAGGGUGCAAGCGUUAAUCGGAAUUACUGGGCGUAAAGCGUGCGCAGGCGGUUCGGAAAGAAAGAUGUGAAAUCCCAGAGCUUAACUUUGGAACUGCAUUUUUAACUACCGAGCUAGAGUGUGUCAGAGGGAGGUGGAAUUCCGCGUGUAGCAGUGAAAUGCGUAGAUAUGCGGAGGAACACCGAUGGCGAAGGCAGCCUCCUGGGAUAACACUGACGCUCAUGCACGAAAGCGUGGGGAGCAAACAGGAUUAGAUACCCUGGUAGUCCACGCCCUAAACGAUGUCAACUAGCUGUUGGGGCCUUCGGGCCUUGGUAGCGCAGCUAACGCGUGAAGUUGACCGCCUGGGGAGUACGGUCGCAAGAUUAAAACUCAAAGGAAUUGACGGGGACCCGCACAAGCGGUGGAUGAUGUGGAUUAAUUCGAUGCAACGCGAAAAACCUUACCUACCCUUGACAUGUCUGGAAUUCCGAAGAGAUUUGGAAGUG
rnacentral:rRNA from 1 species